UUUGAACUCAACAUAAUUUAAAUGUCUACAACAUAUAAUUUGCCAUUAAACCAAACACCUUUUAACCUCUAGAUCAUUACUUGAUGGAAUACUCCCGUAGAAAAUGAAGAUAUGGUUUCAAAUCGACCUUGACCACGAAGAUUUUUUUCCUUUUAGUAGCAAUCGAAUUUUCACCUCUGUCCCCUAUUUUUCCUUACACCAUUCCUAAAAUCUUUUUCUCAGAUGGCCACAGCGAAAAGGGCUUUCUCAGAAUGCGAAAUGUGGAAGCAUAGACAAGGCGUGCGAACUGUUUGACAGAAUACCUCAAAAAGAUGUGUCCUCGUCGACCGCAAUGAUUGCAGGAUAUGCACAAAUGGAUAUGUUGAAAGGCUUUAGGAAAUUUCGAGUAAAUGUAAUUGGCAGUUAUAAAGCCAAAUUUCACAACCUUUACCAGCGUCCUUGUGCCAAAAUACGAGCUUUGGAAUAGAGAAUGGACUUUUAUCAAAGCAUAGAGAAGUUACAAAUGCCCUGGUAACUGUGUAUGCAAAAUGUAGGAGCACAGACAAGGCAGAUGUACAUAUGAAUUGUUUUGCAAGAUGGGAGCUUUGGAACAGGGCGUGGACAUCCAUUAAAGCAUAAUGGAAGGAAUAUUUUUGAUAAAUGCUGAAAAUACAUAUGGCGAAACAUUUCCUUCCCAUUCAGGUUCAACUUUCCUUCAAAUAUUUUGUACAAAAUGCUGAAUAUUUAGUUCAGGCUAGUCGAGUGCACUCCAUGAGAUUCCAUGGUGUAACCAAACCUUCCACAUCUAUCGUUAAAAUUUUAGAUUUCAAUUUUUAAAUUAAGCAA